GUCCACGCCGUAAACGAUGUCUACUAGUCGUUGGGUCCCUUGAGGACUUAGUGACGCAGCUAACGCAAUAAGUAGACCGCCUGGGGAGUACGGCCGCAAGGUUAAAACUCAAAUGAAUUGACGGGGGCCCGCACAAGCGGUGGAGCAUGUGGUUUAAUUCGAUGCAACGCGAAGAACCUUACCUGGUCUUGACAUAUCUAGAAUCCUGCAGAGAUGCGGGAGUGCCUUCGGGAAUUAGAAUACAGGUGCUGCAUGGCU
rnacentral:rRNA from 1 species